UCCCUUCCCGAACAGAGAAGUUAAGCCCCCCAUGGCCGAUGGUACUGCACAGCAAUGCGGGAGAGUAGGUAGUUGCCAUAU
rnacentral:rRNA from 1 species